rnacentral:tRNA from 2 species
GAUCCGAUAGCUCAGCUGGGAGAGCGCUACCUUGACAGGGUAGAGGUCGGGGGUUCGAACCCCUCUCGGGUCA